rnacentral:lncRNA from 1 species
GUUGUAUGUCUUCUUCUUCUUCUUCUUCUUCUUCUUCUUCUUCUUCAGUUUCUUGUCUUGCUGUGUUCUUCUUCAAUGGAGCUUUAUGUUAUCUUCUGACUUUGUUCUCGUUUGUUUGCAUUGAACUAGAUUGAAGAAAGGCCAGUGAAGAGGCUGUGCAAAACCCAUGGCAGAAUCACAGUGAAUGGACAAUUCCCAGGUCCAACAUUGGAAGUCAGAGAUGGUGACUCCUUAGUCAUCACAGCUAUAAACAAAGCUCAGUAUAAUGUCACCCUACACUGGUAAAAUAUUGUGUACAGAAUAAACAUAUUAAUCUUUGUUUUGAUGGAAAAUUCUAGGACGUUUUCGUAUAUAAGAUGAAAAUUACUGUACCUUUAUAGUGUCACCCUACACUGGUAAAGUAUUGUGCACGGAAUAAGCAUAUUAUUCUUUGUUUUGAUGGAAAAUUCUAGGAUGCUUUCGUAUAUAAGAUGAAAAUUAUUGUACCUUGGUGAUCAGGCAUGGAAUUAGACAGCUGAGAAAUCCAUGGGCGGAUGGACCUGAAUACAUAACACAGUGCCCUAUUCUACCAGGAAGGAGCUAUACAUACAGGUUCACCAUCAUAAACCAGGAAGGUACUUUGUGGUGGCAUGCU